UGGAGUUUGGGGACAACACCAAGGUACUGCCAUACUUGAGGAGGAGAUGGCAUUUCUCAGCUUCUGAUAGUUACUUUUGGGGAUCGAUGAAUCGCUUGAGAAUCUCCGAUUGGGCAAAAGGCCUAAGUGUCUAUAAGAAGCUGAGGAGCUGGAGUGGGAGCAGAAACGUCUGGCAGGGGGAAUGGAGGUGAGGAAGAGGCAGAGGACUGAAGGAGGAUAUAGCAAAUGAUGCCAAAAGCCAAAUGGAAGAUCAAAGGUGGUAAAAAGAAAAGGUGGAAAAGCAGAGCUGGAAGAAGUGGGAUUAAUCCAUAUCGUAAAGAAGAAAAUAUAGAUAUUUGGACCGAAGAGGUUAAAAAAGUCAAUGGAUGACACCAUUCUCUGAAGAGUCUCUCCCUAGAGGAGGAGCACACUUCUCACCACAGUGACUUCGGGAUUGGACAUGUGACUUGCUUUAGAAAAGGAAAUAUGCACAGGAGUGAUAUAAGCCACAUCUGGCUUGGCACGUCUCCUUGCGGCCACCAUAUAAAGAAGGAUGUGUUUGCUUCCCCUUCCAACAUGAUUGUAAGUUUCCUGAGGCCUCCCCAGCCAUGCUGAACUGUGAGUCAAUUAAACCUCUUUCCUUUAUAAGUUA